AAAAAAUAGAAAACUUCAAUAACAUGAGGAUUGGUUGGUUCAGUUCAAAGUGCAAAGUUAGAGGUAUUCUGAGCAGCUCUAAACUGAAUACAUUUGAUGAAAAUUUCACCAGGACAGUUUUCAACCACUGAAAUGUAUAUUUCGUCUAGGAUCUUCCACAGCAAUCAAGAUAUUUUUCGGAAUUUCUUUCCCGGAGAAGUAACCUACAACGAGUUACGCAAAUAUGUAGUAUGUGUUACAUCGGGUUUUUAUCGGAAGUUUAAGAUGAAAAAGUAAAGUUAACAAAACAUUGCUUCAUAUAUAAUAGUUUUGGAUAUCAAUAAAUGGUGAAUUUUACUAGUUUGGA